UGAGGAAUAUUGGUCAAUGGGCGUAAGCCUGAACCAGCCAAGUCGCGUGAGGGAUGAAGGUUCUAUGGAUCGUAAACCUCUUUUAUAAGGGAAUAAAGUGCGGGACGUGUCCCGUUUUGUAUGUACCUUAUGAAUAAGGAUCGGCUAACUCCGUGCCAGCAGCCGCGGUAAUACGGAGGAUCCGAGCGUUAUCCGGAUUUAUUGGGUUUAAAGGGUGCGUAGGCGGCCUUUUAAGUCAGCGGUGAAAGUCUGUGGCUCAACCAUAGAAUUGCCGUUGAAACUGGGAGGCUUGAGUAUGUUUGAGGCAGGCGGAAUGCGUGGUGUAGCGGUGAAAUGCUUAGAUAUCACGCAGAACCCCGAUUGCGAAGGCAGCCUGCCAAGCCAUGACUGACGCUGAUGCACGAAAGCGUGGGGAUCAAACAGG
rnacentral:rRNA from 1 species